CCCUUAGACGUUCUGGGCCGCACGCGCGCUACACUGACCAGUGCAACAAGCAUCCGUCCUUGGCCGACAGGCUCGGGCAAUCUUUGAACGCUGGUCGUGAUGGGGAUAGACUUUUGCAAUUUUUGGUCUUCAACGAGGAAUUCCUAGUAAACGCAAGUCAUCAACUUGCAUUGAUUACGUCCCUGCCCUUUGUACACACCGCCCGUCGCACCUACCGAUUGAAUGGUCCGGUGAAAUUCUCGGACGCGGACUUGCGAUGUUAAUUCGGAGCUUGACUGUGAAAGUUAAUUAAACCUUACCAUUUAGAGGAAGGUGAAGUCGUAACA
rnacentral:rRNA from 1 species